UAAUACAGAGGGUGCAAGCGUUAAUCGGAAUUACUGGGCGUAAAGCGCGCGUAGGCGGUUGUAUAAGUUGGAGGUGAAAUCCCCGGGCUCAACCUGGGAAUUGCCUUCAAAACUGUACGGCUAGAGUGUGGGAGAGGAAGGUAGAAUUCCAGGUGUAGCGGUGAAAUGCGUAGAUAUCUGGAGGAAUACCGAUGGCGAAGGCAGCCUUCUGGCCUAACACUGACGCUGAGGUGCGAAAGCAUGGGGAGCAAACAGGAUUAGAUACCCUGGUAGUCCAUGCCGUAAACGAUGUCUACUAGCCGUUGGGGGACUUGAUCCUUUAGUGGCGCAGCUAACGCAUUAAGUAGACCGCCUGGGGAGUACGGUCGCAAGACUAAAACUCAAAUGAAUUGACGGGGGCCCGCACAAGCGGUGGAGCAUGUGGUUUAAUUCGAUGCAACGCGAAGAACCUUACCUGGCCUUGACAUGUCCGGAACCCUGCAGAGACGCGGGGGUGCCUUCGGGAAUCGGAACAC
rnacentral:rRNA from 1 species